GUUUUUUCAAGCUGUGCUCGCUGUUUAGAUUCUCCUCUGCAGACCUUUUGAUCAAUUCAGAAGCCUGCAAAAUGGAACCCAUGCAAAAUUUCAGAGGAUAAGUGACUGACACUAGCUAUAUCAGAUAAAGACAAGAGAAGUCUCUUAUUAAGACAUCUUUUUCUCGGCAGUCUGAUUCUCUAUCUCGAGCAAGACACCUUUAAGUUAAACAAUGGACAGGUAUAAGAAUUGAGAAUGAGUUAGGAGUCACAUUUUGAAUAUGAUCUUUCAAAAAAGUCUUAAUUGAGAUCUUACCUCGCACUUGAUGCCAAAUUGAACAAAUAGUUCAUGAUACUCUUUGCUUCACCUAAUGUUCGAACUUGGUUCCACCUUCCUUUUCCACCAAACACACGCUCGCGUUCCUCUGCUUCGGACAAUUGUGAUGCCAUGGAAACGAGAGUGUUUGAAGAGGUCGCAAGCAUAUUCUCCAGUGCAAAAAUCCUUGAGUUUCUUGCUCCCGGAGACAUGGUAUCAUCAUGCACGCUGCUUUGGUUACAGCAGAAGUAAACUGUUUACUAUUUUUUCAAUAAAGAACUGGUACUGGUUUAUGCAAAAUCACCACCCACCUUAUCUUGGCA